CCCUUGAUAGCUCAGUUGGCAGAGCGAUGGACUGUAAUCGUAACUGAAGAAUUCAGACUAUCCACAGGUCACCGGUUCAAAUCCGGUUCGAGGGA